CACGUAGUUAGCCGGGGCUUCUUAGUCAGGUACUGUCACUUUCUUCCCUGCUGAUAGAGUUUUACAUACCGAGAUACUUCAUCGCUCACGCGGCGUCGCUGCAUCAGGGUUUCCCCCAUUGUGCAAUAUUCCCCACUGCUGCCUCCCGCAGGAGUCUGGGCCGUGUCUCAGUCCCAAUGUGGCCGGCCGCCCUCUCAGGCCGGCUACUGAUCGUCGCCUUGGUGGGCCGUUACCCCGCCAACGAGCUAAUCAGACGCGGGCCCAUCCCAUACCACCGGAGUUUUCCCCAGGAAGCUAUGCAGCCUCCUGGGCGUAUGCGGUAUUAGCAGCCGUUUCCGGCUGUUACUCCCCGGUAGUCGGGGCAGGGUUCGCCCACGCGUUACUCACCCGUCCGCCACUCAGACUAAUUACCCGUUCCUACCCCGGAAGGGAACUCCCGUGUAACCCGCUUUCGUUCCGUACUUGCCAUGUGUUAAGCACGCCGCCAGCGUUCAUCCUGACGCAGGAUACAAACUCU
rnacentral:rRNA from 1 species